rfam:Parcubacteria bacterium GW2011_GWA2_37_10 TS35_C0008, whole genome shotgun sequence.
GCCGGGGUAGCUCAGUUGGUAAGAGCGUUGCACUCAUAACGCAAAGGUCGUGGGUUCGACUCCCACCCUCGGCA